rnacentral:rRNA from 1 species
AUGGCUCAGCUCCAAUAGCGUAUAUUAAAGUUGUUGCAGUUAAAAAGCUCGUAGUUGAAUUUCGGGGUUCUACCGUUGGUCGGGCAAUAGUCUGUACUGGCGUGUAGAAUUUCUACCUUCUGGGGAACCAUCAUGUUAUUUAUUUAGCGUGGUGGGAAACCAGGACCUUUACCUUGAAAAAAUUAGAGUGUUCAAAGCAGGCUUACGUCUGAAUACAUUAGCAUGGAAUAAUAAAAUAGGACGGUGGUCCUGUUUUGUUGGUUUCUGAAUCACCGUAAUGAUUAAUAGGGAUAGUUGGGGGCAUUAGUAUUCAAUUGUCAGAGGUGAAAUUCUUGGAUUUAUUGAAGACUAACUUCUGCGAAAGCAUUUGCCAAGGAUGUUUUCAUUAAUCAAGAACGAAAGUUAGGGGAUCGAAGACGAUCAGAUACCGUCGUAGUCUUAACCAUAAACUAUGCCGACUAGGGAUCGGACGAUGUUAAUA